AUUGAACGCUGGCGGCAUGCUUUACACAUGCAAGUCGAACGGUAACAGGGUGCUUGCACCGCUGACGAGUGGCGAACGGGUGAGUAAUGCGUCGGAACGUGCCGAGUAGUGGGGGAUAACGCAGCGAAAGUUGUGCUAAUACCGCAUACGUACUGAGGUAGAAAGUGGGGGACCUUCGGGCCUCACGCUAUUCGAGCGGCCGACGUCUGAUUAGCUAGUAGGUGAGGUAAAGGCUCACCUAGGCGACGAUCAGUAGCGGGUCUGAGAGGAUGAUCCGCCACACUGGGACUGAGACACGGCCCAGACUCCUACGGGAGGCAGCAGUGGGGAAUUUUGGACAAUGGGCGCAAGCCUGAUCCAGCCAUGCCGCGUGCGGGAAGAAGGCCUUCGGGUUGUAAACCGCUUUUGGCAGGAACGAAACGGCGACCUCUAAUACGGGUCGUUAAUGACGGUACCUGCAGAAUAAGCACCGGCUAACUACGUGCCAGCCGCCGCGGUAA
rnacentral:rRNA from 1 species